rnacentral:rRNA from 1 species
UGGGGAAUUUUGGACAAUGGGCGAAAGCCUGAUCCAGCAAUGCCGCGUGUGUGAAGAAGGCCUUCGGGUUGUAAAGCACUUUUGUCCGGAAAGAAAUCCUUGGCUCUAAUACAGUCGGGGGAUGACGGUACCGGAAGAAUAAGCACCGGCUAACUACGUGCCAGCAGCCGCGGUAAUACGUAGGGUGCAAGCGUUAAUCGGAAUUACUGGGCGUAAAGCGUGCGCAGGCGGUUUGCUAAGACCGAUGUGAAAUCCCCGGGCUCAACCUGGGAACUGCAUUGGUGACUGGCAGGCUAGAGUAUGGCAGAGGGGGGUAGAAUUCCACGUGUAGCAGUGAAAUGCGUAGAGAUGUGGAGGAGUACCGAUGGCGAAGGCAGCCCCCUGGGCCAAUACUGACGCUCAUGCACGAAAGCGUGGGGAGCAAACAGGAUUAGAUACCCUGGUAGUCCACGCCCUAAACGAUGUCAACUAGUUGUUGGGGAUUCAUUUCCUAGUAACGUAGCUAACGCGUGAAGUUGACCGCCUGGGGAGUACGGUCGCAAGAUUAAAACUUAAAUAAAUUGAC